rnacentral:rRNA from 1 species
UAAUGUGAAUUGCAGAAUUCAGUGAAUCAUCGAAUCUUUGAACGCACAUUGCGCCCUCUGGUAUUCCGGGGGGCAUGCCUGUUCGAGCGUCAUUACAACCCUCAAGCUCUGCUUGGUAUUGGGCUACACCCGACUGGGUGGGCCUUAAAAUCAGUGGCGGUGCCAUCUGGCUCUAAGCGUAGUAAUUCUUCUCGCUCUGGAGAUCUAGGUGUUUGCUUGCCAGCAACCCCCAAUUUAUCAAAGGUUGACCUCGGAUCAGGUAGGGAUACCCGCUGAACUUAAGCAUAUCAAUAAGCGGAGGAAAAGAAACCAACAGGGAUUGCCUCAGUAACGGCGAGUGAAGCGGCAACAGCUCAAAUUUGAAAUCUGGCUCUUUCAGGGUCCGAGUUGUAAUUUGUAGAGGAUGCUUCGGGUGUGGCUCCGGUCUAAGUUCCUUGGAACAGGACGUCAUAGAGGGUGAGAAUCCCGUAUGUGACUGGUUGCCUAUGCUCAUGUGAAGCUCCUUCGACGAGUCGAGUUGUUUGGGAAUGCAGCUCAAAAUGGGUGGUAAAUUUCAUCUAAAGCUAAAUAUUGGCCAGAGACCGAUAGCGCACAAGUAGAGUGAUCGAAAGAUGAAAAGCACUUUGGAAAGAGAGUUAAACAGUACGUGAAAUUGUUGAAAGGGAAGCGCUUGCAACCAGACUUGCACGUAGUUAAUCAACCGGUGUUCUCACUGGUGCACUUAAUUACGUUCAGGCCAGCAUCGGUUUCGGUGGUUGGAUAAAGGCCGGGGGAAUGUGGCUUCUUUCGGGGAGUGUUAUAGCCCUCGGUGCAAUGCAGCCUACCGGGACCGAGGACCGCGCUUCGGCUAGGAUGCUGGCGUAAU